rnacentral:rRNA from 1 species
AUUGAACGCUGGCGGCAGGCCUAACACAUGCAAGUCGAGCGGUAGAGAGAAGCUUGCUUCUCUUGAGAGCGGCGGACGGGUGAGUAAUGCCUAGGAAUCUGCCUGGUAGUGGGGGAUAACGUUCGGAAACGGACGCUAAUACCGCAUACGUCCUACGGGAGAAAGCAGGGGACCUUCGGGCCUUGCGCUAUCAGAUGAGCCUAGGUCGGAUUAGCCAGUUGGUGAGGUAAUGGCUCACCAAGGCGACGAUCCGUAACUGGUCUGAGAGGAUGAUCAGUCACACUGGAACUGAGACACGGUCCAGACUCCUACGGGAGGCAGCAGUGGGGAAUAUUGGACAAUGGGCGAAAGCCUGAUCCAGCCAUGCCGCGUGUGUGAAGAAGGUCUUCGGAUUGUAAAGCACUUUAAGUUGGGAGGAAGGGUUGUAGAUUAAUACUUUGCAAUUUUGACGUUACCGACAGAAUAAGCACCGGCUAACUCUGUGCCAGCAGCCGCGGUAAUACAGAGGGUGCAAGCGUUAAUCGGAAUUACUGGGCGUAAAGCGCGCGUAGGUGGUUUGUUAAGUUGGAUGUGAAAUCCCCGGGCUCAACCUGGGAACUGCAUUCAAAACUGACUGACUAGAGUAUGGUAGAGGGUGGUGGAAUUUCCUGUGUAGCGGUGAAAUGCGUAGAUAUAGGAAGGAACACCAGUGGCGAAGGCGACCACCUGGACUAACACUGACACUGAGGUGCGAAAGCGUGGGGAGCAAACAGG